GCUAUGCAAACGGGGUGUUACAAUAGCUUUUCAUCCUAAAAUCCUUAAGUUUUCGCAUGUCGAUGUAUCUCCCCAUGUUGGAUGCAUAUCCAUAUGGAAAUUUUAAAAUGUUAGCCACUCGCACAACACUAAUUUAGCAUUUUUUUCAAGUGUGUAACAUGCUUUAGGAUAUUUUCAUGUCAUCUCAUUCCUUUCUAACUUAGGUCGUCUACAAAACUCCUUCAAAUGUUCCCUUGAUUUUGCAUUGUCCUUAGUCUUUUCUUCGACAUUCAUCAUAGUGUUGAAAAUAUUUUUAGACAUAUUUUUCUCUAUGAGCAUGACAUUAAGGUUAUGUCGAAUCAUGUUCAUAGUCCAAUAAGGUAAAUCCUAAAAAAUACUUCUUUUUUGCCCAACCAAAACUCUUGCCAGUACGGUUGUUUGUCUCAUUUGCACCUGGAUGUAUUACCCUUUUUAAGCCCAAAUCAUCAAUUUGUUUUCAAAUUUCUACACCUGACAAGACAAUGGGAGCUAUUUUAGUUACCUUUCUAUUCUUUCCAAAUGCAUUUUUGUUCCUUGUAAAAGGAUGAUCGGGAGCUAAGAACUUGCGGUGAUUGUUGAACCAAGAUUGCUUACCACCUUUUAUUGGCAUGAAUGCAUCAGAUUCUUCCCUACAAUGAGGACAGGCUGUCCUACCAUCUGAACAACAUUGAAUAUGCUGGAAAAUCACUUAUCAUCCAAAGGAGUGCGGCAUGCAUUUGAAAUUUAUUCUUCAUCAAUGCAUCAUAUGUUUCAACUCUGACAUCCCUUAACUAUUUCAAUUCUGUUAUAAGUGGUUGCAAGUAUACAUCUAACUUAUCCUUUGGAUUUUUUGCUUCAUGCACUAUUACUGUAAGAAACAUGUACUCCUCUUUCAUACAAUCACAAGCCAUGAUGAAUAUUGCUGACCUAACUGUCCAAAUGAUUGGAACCCAUCCGUGUAUGGGCCAAGUCUGACAUUACGACUCUCAACAGAGAAUGAAGGAUGAGAAUUAUUGAAAUGCUUCCACGAAAGUGAGUCUAAAUAGUGACAGAUGACACCAUUUUCAACCUGAUGCUUAGCGUGCCAUCUCAUAUCAUUUGCCAUUAAUUUUGAGGCAUAUAACCUUCGAAACCUUGGCGUGAGAGGAAAGUAAUACAUCUUUUAUGUGGGACAUUCAUUUUAUGUUUAGAAGAUCCUCCUGUCAGUCGCUUGUACCUAGCAAACUCACACACUUUGCAACUCAUUAAUUCACUAUCUUGUCCCCAAUAUAUCACACAUUUGUUAAAACAA
rnacentral:misc_RNA from 1 species